rnacentral:rRNA from 1 species
GAUGAACGCUCGCGAUAGGCUUAACACAUGCAAGUCGAGGGGCAGCAUGGUCUUAGCUUGCUAAGACUGAUGGCGACCGGCGCACGGGUGCGUAACGCGUAUGCAACUUGCCUCACAGAGGGGGAUAACCCGUCGAAAGACGGACUAAUACCGCGUACACUCCAUCUUGGGCAUCCAAGGUAGAGGAAAUGAAAUUCGCUGUGAGAUAGGCAUGCGUCCCAUUAGCUAGUUGGUGAGGUAACGGCUCACCAAGGCGACGAUGGGUAGGGGAACUGAGAGGUUGAACCCCCACACUGGUACUGAGACACGGACCAGACUACUACGGGAGGCAGCAGUGAGGAAUAUUGGUCAAUGGGCGAGGGCCUGAACCAGCCAAGUCGCGUGAAGGAUGACUGUCUUAUGGAUUGUAAACUUCUUUUAUACGGGAAUAACAAGAGUCACGUGUGACUCCCUGCAUGUACCGUAUGAAUAAGCAUCGGCUAACUCCGUG